CGAAAGGAAGCGCUCCAUUCGUUGUGCUUGAAUUCAAAGGUGUUAAAAGGAAAACUGAGCCUGGAGCUACGGAAGAAUUAGAAGCAAUUUGGAAGGAGGCACUGGAAUGGGACUUACACGCACGAGACCUGGAACCGACUGAUUAUGUUAAAGUGAAAAUCUUUGAACAGGAGAAAUACUGGAAAAACAGACUUCUAGGAAAAGCGAAGGUAUUUUUGGAGUCACUUGCGGAAAGA